CUGAAUGUGGCGAAAUGGUUGACGCGCAUCGUUUAGGACGAUGUGUCCUGAAGAGGACGUGCGGGUUCGAGUCCCGUCAUUCAAU
rnacentral:tRNA from 1 species